rnacentral:misc_RNA from 1 species
CAAUUUUUGAAAUCUUUGUUACUUUACGUGUGUGUGUAUAAUCUGUAAAAACAUUAAUGCAGUCAGAUAUAUCAAAAUUUUAACAUCAUUUUUUGUAUGCAGGAUUUAUGAGAAUGACGUUAUUCAUAUUUAAUGAAACAUUUAAUUGCGAAAGUGAUGUCAUGAAAGAAAGAACUAUCAUUUUAUAGUCUAACUAAUAGAGCUUUGUGGUUGCGCUAGCGAAAAUGGCGUCUGUUGAGGAAGAUUGCCAUAACAACCCGAAUUUUGCAGUAAUAUGUUCCUUUAUUAUACAAUUUGGAGAGACAUGCGGGAUCAAUCUUACCAUUGAAAGGUUACAGGAAAUGCUGGAAGACACUAAAACUUUGCAUGAAGAACUGAGAGAACUGCAUAUUAAGCUCUUGAGAAAAGCUAGGAAAUGGUUUGGCAAAGAGAAGUGGGAAAAAGCUCUUAUAAAGUUUUGUCAUCAGUAUUCAAAUGUUGAUGCUUGGGAAAUUGAAAGAUUUGGCUAUAAGAAAGCCAAACUUUCUGUGAAGCUUGAAGCCUUGAAAAGAUUACUUGAAAUGCAAUUUGACACAAAUUCAAAAUUUAAAACUGGUAUAAAUCAACAAGAUGCAUCCAAUUUGAGAUUAUUACCUGUUGGGAGAGAUGUCAAAGGUCUCAUGUAUUGGUAUCAAGUUGAUGAAGAUUUGAAUCUGAGAAUAUAUAGCGAAGAAGCUGAAAAUGAACGUUCCUGGAAAUUAUUGUGCAAAACACGACAUGACCUAGCUACUCUGUUGAGCUCACUUGAAGCUUGCGGGCUCCAGUAUGUAAAAGAUGAAUCCUCAUCAGUGUGUAGUGAAAAUGGAGACAGUUGCAUUACAGAACUAAGUAAUAAGGAAAAGAAGCCUAUUAAAGAAGAACUUGUAGAAAAUAUUGUCAAGCAAGAAACCUCCAGUAUUAAUGACAAAGAAGACAUAAAGCCUCAAGCCUUAGAUUUGAGCACUACCAUUGCUGCAAAAUCUGAGAAUACUACCCUGGAAAAUGAAGAAAAACUUUCCUUAGAAAUUCCAGUUGGUGCUGGGAUAACUAUGAAACCUUGUGAUGUUAAAACUGUGUCAGAAAGUCAGCCUAUGGGCAUUGUAGUUUCCUCUAACAAGGAGAGUCCAGAGCUCUCACAAAUUCAGAAUAAUGUCAAAACAGAAGAAACUCCAGUUACUGAAGCAGGCAACUCUCUGCUCAUUGACAAAUCAUCCCACAGUGACACAAAUGCUGAAACUUCAAAGAAAGAGCUUGGUCACUUAAAAUGUCAAUCUGUUGAACAAAUGCAACCUCUUGAUCUGUCCAGGGAGAAUAAUGUAGAAAAGAAUGUUCAAAGUGUAUUGAUAAAAGAAGGUAUUUCUAAGUUAUCUCACAAACAGGUUCAAAAGCAGGAUAAGGAAGAGUUGUUAAGUUCACAUGGUGGAGUGUCAGUGACAACUGUUAAUAUGAGUACAUCUAAAGUACCACAUACAACAGAAGUAUCCAAUCACAUUGGUAGUGUUGAUAUAUUAAAUAGUUUAGUUGCUGAAGAUAGCCUCUCUUGUAAAACCUCUGAGGGUAGAGAAUUCAAACAUAAAAUUUACUACAAAAAACUAGAUACCCAUGAAAAACCUGAACUAAAUUUAGACAAAUUAUCAGAAAAUACAAAUUCUGAUAAAGAGUCUGUUAGUCAAGAAAAAGAAAUAAAGAUCAUCACAGAAUGUCAUUUAUCAUUAGACUCGGCAAAAAUAGCUGAAAGUUUAAAAAAUGUACCUGAUGCAAAUCAAAAGUUGAACAAAGAUGAAAACAAUAAAAAAAUUGUUGAUUUGUCUUCCUCUACAAAUGAUAAUAGACACAGUAUAAGCAAGUCAGAAGUUCUUGGUAGCUUAUCGGGUGAAAAUCUUACUGACUCGGAAGCUGCAAAAGAAACAGAUGUAAACCAUGUUGCCAAAGCAGAAAACUCCAACAAUGACCAAGCUGAUAUAAAAAGUGAGCAUUCUGAACAAACAGCAAUAAAAUUCUCCAAAGAAGUUAACAAGCCUUCUGUUCUAGCUGAGACAAAUUCAGAAAAAGAUGUGUGUACAUCCCCAUUGGUCAAUAAUGAAAACAUUUUACAAGACAAAAUUGAUAAAUUAAAUACUACUAAAAACCCUUGUGCAGUCAGUUGUAAUAGUACAAGUGAAAUAUCUACAACAAUUCAAGAGCUUCAAACAGAUUGUAAUGAAGUAGAUACCAUCAAAUCAAGUACAACACAUUCUCUAACCAUAAAAGAAGUAGAUGGAAUUCAAGAUCUUCAAACUAGCAAGAAUAAAGAAAGUGAUAGUAACAAACAGAGUAAAAUUAACACUGAUAGCUUGAGAGUGUUUGAAAUUCUUCAAGAUUCUCCAGGUGAUGAAAAUCAAAUAAAUGAUAAUAAGAAAAUGAAUAAAGCUGAGUGUGAUAGUACAAAAGAAAAUGAAGAUUCAGCAAAGAAAGAACAAAUUGAAAACUUGUCACCUCAAAAGAAAUCUGAUGAGCAAACAAAAUCAUAUGAAACUGUUUCAGUUGAAGCUGUACCUGUAGAGUCAGCUGAAGCCUCUACUUUAGAAAAUAAAACUCUGGAUUUAGAAGAAACAGUGGAGGAACAUAAAAAUGCACCAAAAACAAAAAAGAAAAAAUCUGUUAGGGGAAGAAAGCUUAGAAGUAGAAAAUGUAAUGAUAUGAAGAAAACUGCACAUAAGACUCCUGAGAAAGUUAUUGAAAAGGAAAGUGGUGGAGACUCUGAGUCUAUUGAGUCUGAAAAUAAUCAAAAAAAUCUUAGUUGCAGUGAGAAGAAGGGAGAGGAGGCAAGCCUCACUAUUCCAGAAGAAGUAAUUCUUGCUGCAGGCAAAAGUCCAAGAAGAGGGCGUAGUCGGUCACGAGGUAGGGGUAGGGGUCGGGGCAGAGGGCGUCAAGUUACUAGAAAAGGGGGCUUAACACCACCAUCAAACAGUGGAACACUGAAGAGAGGUAGAGGACGAGGACCAAAAAUUUUGAAUGGGUCUGAUGGUAGUGAUUCUCCAAACCUCCAUAUCAAACGUAGUCGCCGCAUUCAAGAACAGCAGCAGAAAAAACUCUCCGAACUUGCAGAAGCACUAGAAAGAGAGCAAAGACAUUUGGAAGAAUUAGCUAAAAAGAAGGUAGCAACUACUAAGGAAAAGAGUGAACCACCUGCACCUCCUCCAGAUGAAGAAACUAAGGAGAACAAAAAAGAGAAGAAAAAGAAGCGUCGUCGUAAAAGACACAGAGGAAAGAAGCGUACCAGUUAUAACCCAUGGGAUGUUUCUUCAGAGUCUACAUCAAGUAGUGAAGAAGAAGAAUUUCAUGUAGCAGAAGAGGAAGAAGAAGAAGAUGAGGAAGAACUCAAGUUUGAUGAAAAUUAUGAUGAGUUUGCUUGUGAAGAAUAUGAUGAGAAUGAAGAACCAGUCAUUGUAAAAAGAGCUCGAACUGCUAAGAAAGUUCAUUCUGACAAUGAAAGUAAUAGUAGCAGUGAAAUGGAAGGUGAUGAUAAACCUUGUGGUCGCUGUGGUCAAAAAGAUCACCCAGAAUGGAUUUUGCUAUGUGACAAGUGUGAUUCGGGUUAUCAUACAGCAUGCCUUAAUCCUCCAUUGAUGAUUGUUCCUGAUGGCAACUGGUACUGCCCACCUUGUGAACAUAAAAUGUUAUGUGAAAAGCUUAGUGAAACCCUCAAGAGUUUGGACCAAAUGAUGAAAAAAAAGAACGUGAAGAACUCAGAAAACAACGACUUGCAUAUGUUGGAAUCAGUUUGGAUAAUGUAUUGAAACCAGAAAAGAAAGAGAAACCUGAGUCUGAUGAAUGUGAAGAAGAAAAGGAAGAAUCUGAUAAAGAUGAUAAACUGUUCUCCUAUCGAUCAUCACGUCCCAGACGAUCAGUGAGCUAUCAGUUUAAAGAAUUUGAUGAACUUAUUAAUUCAGCCAUUGAGGAAGAUAUUAUUGAGGGUAGAGGAGCAGGUGCAGGAAAAGGCAAAGAUAUGUCAAACAUUACAGGUGCUGAAGAACGUGAGAGCAAGAAACGGCGGAAACAUCGUCGGUUAAAUGAUCUUGAUACAACUUCAGAAGAAGGUGAUAGUGAUGUUGAAUACAAAGAUACUAG